rnacentral:rRNA from 1 species
ACAUCGACGGGGAGGUUUGGCACCUCGAUGUCGGCUCAUCACCUCCUGGGGCUGUAGUAGGUCCCAAGGGUUGGGCUGUUCGCCCAUUAAAGUGGUACGCGAGCUGGGUUAAGAACGUCGUGCGACAGUUCGGUCCCUAUCCGUCGCAGGCGUAGGAAAUUUGAGAAGACCUGUCCUUAGUACGAGAGGACCGGGAUGGACGUACCUCUGGUGUACCAGUUGU